rnacentral:rRNA from 1 species
AGAGUUUGAUCCUGGCUCAGAAUCAACGCUGGCGGCGUGCCUAACACAUGCAAGUCGAACGAGAAAGUGGAGCAAUCCAUGAGUAAAGUGGCGCACGGGUGAGUAACACGUGACUAACCUACCCUGGAGUGGGGGAUAACUGAGGGAAACCUUAGCUAAUACCGCAUAAUACCUACGGGUCAAAGGAGCAAUUCGCUUUGGGAGGGGGUCGCGGCCGAUUAGUUAGUUGGCGGGGUAAUGGCCCACCAAGACAGUGAUCGGUAUCCGGCCUGAGAGGGCGCACGGACACACUGGAACUGAAACACGGUCCAGACUCCUACGGGAGGCAGCGAGUGGGGAAUUUUGCGCAAUGGGGGAAACCCUGACGCAGCAACGCCGCGUGGAGGAUGAAAGUCCUUCGGGACGUAAACUCCUUCGAUCGG